CAGCAGCCGCGGUAAUACGAAGGGUGCAAGCGUUACUCGGAGUUACUGGGCGUAAAGCGUGCGUAGGUGGUGGUUUAAGUCCGUUGUGAAAGCCCUGGGCUCAACCUGGGAAUUGCAGUGGAUACUGGGUCACUAGAGUGUGGUAGAGGAUAGUGGAAUUUCCGGUGUAGCAGUGAAAUGCGUAGAGAUCGGGAGGAACAUCAGUGGCGAAGGCGGCCAUCUGGGACAACACUGACGCUGAGGCACGAAAGCGUGGGGAGCAAACAGGAUUAGAUACCCCAGUAUCCCUAUCUCUUAUACA
rnacentral:rRNA from 1 species